CCCUUAGAUGUUCUGGGCUGCACGCGCGCUACACUGACACUAUCAACGAGUGCUCCUGGUUUGAAAGGAUCGGGUAAUCUUUUGAAAUGGUGUCGUGAUGGGGAUAGAUCAUUGCAAUUAUUGAUCUUGAACGAGGAAUUCCUAGUAAAUGUGAGUCAUCAGCUCACGUUGAUUACGUCCCUGCCCUUUGUACACACCGCCCGUCGCUCCUGCCGAUUGAGUGAACCGAUGAGUAGUCCGGAUUGCGAUCGACCUCGGUUAAUCGCGAGAAGUUCCGCAAAUCACUUCACUUAGAGGAAGGAGAAGUCGUAACA
rnacentral:rRNA from 1 species